rnacentral:lncRNA from 1 species
CUCCUCCACUUUAAUACAGUUACUUAGUAUAUACCAUCGAUUUUGGUCUGGUACAGUAUUGAUUUAUUAUACCGCCUUAAGGAUGUUUGCUCCUCCAUAUUUUGAUUUUUUGCCAGAUUUUCGGAAUCCUCUGGUUUUAUCCUUGUAUUGUCAUUAAAAAAAUUUGCCCACUAACCCUUACUUUUCUUUUUUUUUCGAUUUUGGUCUGGUACAGUAUUGAUUUAUUAUACCGCCUUAUUAAUCUGAUUUGGUCAUGUAGAUAUAACCUUGUGACCUGCUCAAUUCUCAUUCGCCGACAGAACUGUUCAAUAUUUGCAUGGUUAUUUCUUCAAAAGUGAUUUUGAUAUAGUAGAAAUGAAAUGUAAGAAACUUAAAUGUUUAUAACAUAUUAAAUCAUUUUAAUUCAGUGGUACUG